AUUGAACGCUGGCGGCAGGCCUAACACAUGCAAGUCGAGCGGAUGAAGGGAGCUUGCUCCUGGAUUCAGCGGCGGACGGGUGAGUAAUGCCUAGGAAUCUGCCUGGUAGUGGGGGAUAACGUCCGGAAACGGGCGCUAAUACCGCAUACGUCCUGAGGGAGAAAGUGGGGGAUCUUCGGACCUCACGCUAUCAGAUGAGCCUAGGUCGGAUUAGCUAGUUGGUGGGGUAAAGGCCUACCAAGGCGACGAUCCGUAACUGGUCUGAGAGGAUGAUCAGUCACACUGGAACUGAGACACGGUCCAGACUCCUACGGGAGGCAGCAGUGGGGAAUAUUGGACAAUGGGCGAAAGCCUGAUCCAGCCAUGCCGCGUGUGUGAAGAAGGUCUUCUGAUUGUAAAGCACUUUAAGUUGGGAGGAAGGGCAGUACGUUAAUACCUUGCUGUUUUGACGUUACCAACAGAAUAAGCACCGGCUAACUUCGUG
rnacentral:rRNA from 1 species